AGCAGCCGCGGUAGUUCCAGCUCCAAUAGCGUAUAUUAAAGUUGUUGCAGUUAAAAAGCUCGUAGUUGAACUUCAGGCCUGGCUGGAUGGUCCGCCUUCUGGGUGAGUACUGUCUGUGGUCGGGUCCUACCUUCUGGCGAAGCGUCAUGGCCUUAACCGGCCGUGGCGGGGAGCCAGGACUUUUACUGUGAAAAAUUAGAGUGUUCAAAGCAGGCACGCGCUUGAAUACAUUAGCAUGGAAUAAUGGAAUAGGACAGUGGUUCUAUUUGUUGGUUUCUAGGACCGUUGUAAUGAUUAAUAGGGAUAGUUGGGGGCAUUAGUAUUCAAUUGUCAGAGGUGAAAUUCUUGGAUUUAUUGAAGACUAACUACUGCGAAAGCAUUUGCCAAGGAUGUUUUCAUUAAUCAAGAACGAAAGUUAGGGGAUCGAAGACGAUCAGAUACCGUCGUAGUCUUAACCAUAAACUAUGCCGACUAGGAAUCGGGCGAUGUUGACAAAAUGACGCGCUCGGCACCU
rnacentral:rRNA from 1 species